GUGCUCACUUCAGCAGCACAUUUACUAAAAUUGGAACGAUACAAAGAAGAUUAGAAUGGUCCCUGUACAAGGAUGACAUGUAAAUCUGUGAAGCAUUCCAUAUUUUU